AAAAUAACAAAUAAUCAAAAUUUUCCGCACGAAAAUAUUUUUUCAGGUUCUAAUGCGAUAAGCUUCCAUCACAAAGGUCGGAAGACCCAUCACAAAGGUUGAAAGACCCAUCACAAAGGUUGGAAGACGCUUUGCAGAAAUUAUGGCAGAAAAUAAAGAUUCAAAGACGUGCUACAAUGUUGAUACCAAAAAUAGCAAAUAUGUUUUUGUUGGAGACAACAUUACAGUAAAGUUUUAUCAACAAAAAG